UGAGUGUGGGUUACAUCUCCACACAAGGAUCAAUUGGAGGGCAAGUCUGGUGCCAGCAGCCGCGGUAAUUCCAGCUCCAAGAGCGUAUAUGCAAGUUGCUGCAGUUGAAAAGCUCGUAGUUGGAUUUCGGGUUUAGUGUUGAGAUAUCCCCAGGCAGGUCUCCUGUCUCUGGUGUGUUGUUUUCAAUCAACCCUCACUGAUAAAUAUCUUGUAUAUUUAUCUCAUUUACUUUGAACAACUUCGAGUGUUUCAAGCAGACGUUUAUGUUUGUAGAGCUUAGCAUGGAAUAAUGGUCUCGGACUGGGGUCGCACUGGGUUGACAACGACUCUGGUAAGGCUGGAGAGGGAUAGUUGGGGGUGCUAGGAUUCAGCGUGGAGAGGUGAAAUUCUCGGAUCCGCUGAAGACUGACUUAUGCGAGAGCAUUCACCCAGGAUGUCCUCUUUAAUCAAGAACGAAAGUUGGGGGAUCGAAGACGAUCAGAUACCGUCGUAGUCUCAACCGUAAACCAUGCCGACUAGGGAUGUGUGGGUGUCCGGUAUGGACCUCAUGCGAACCUUCUGAGAAAUCAAAGUCCACGGGUUCCGGGGGGAGUAUGGUCGCAAGGCUGAAACUUAAAGGAAUUGACGGAAGGGCACCACCAGGAGUGGAGCCUGCGGCUUAAUUUGACUCAACACGGGGAAACUUACCAGGUCCAGACUCUAUGAGGAUUGACAGAUGGAAGAUCUUUCUUGAUCUGGAGGGUGGUGGUGCAUGGCCGUUCUUAGUUGGUGGAGUGAUUUGUCUGGUUAAUUCCGUUAACGAGCGAGACCUCGUGGCGAUGGUUGUGAGUCCAUAUAUUCGUAUAUGCUUGACUCAGUCCCAUCCCGACACUCGGUGGGGAGCCGAGGAAGAUCGAGGCA
rnacentral:rRNA from 1 species